UCUCUAUUUUUUAUUUAAAUAAACCAUUUAUUUACUAAUUUUCAUUAUGUGCGAUCCAAAGUUCGACAUAAAACCGAUGUCUUCAUAAGAAAUUUUCGUGAUAUGGUGAUCCAGAAUUCAGUGACUGGAUGAUUUUCAAGACAAACAAGAGAACCUCGACGAAACGGAUUUGGUCGAAUUGAGAUUGCAACUUGGCGCAAUUACAGGUUUUUACAUAGCGACCCAGCCAGGCUAAUUUUUAAAAUAUGUUUUUUUUUAAUGUUUUUAAUAAAUUAUUGUUGCUUUU
ensembl:lincRNA linc-21 ncRNA